UACGUAGGGUGCAGGCGUUAAUCGGAAUUACUGGGCGUAAAGCGUGCGCAGGCGGUUUGCUAAGACAGGUGUGAAAUCCCCGGGCUUAACCUGGGAACUGCGCUUGUUACUGGCAAGCUAGAGUGUGGCAGAGGGGGGUGGAAUUCCAGGUGUAGGCAGUGAAAUGCGUAGAGAUCUGGAGGAACACCGAUGGCGAAGGCAGCCCCCUGGGCUAACACUGACGCUCAUGCACGAAAGCGUGGGGAGCAAACAG
rnacentral:rRNA from 1 species